rnacentral:SRP_RNA from 13 species
AGCAUCAGUGGCGAGAUCCGCGCCCUGUACCCGGAGGACCACAGGAGAUUGGGAAGCUUGCCCGUCAACAAGGCCCAGAAGGAAGCAGUGAUCCGC